CUUCUAAUGCAAUAGUAACACGUGUCUUGUGACCGGCGCAAUUUAUGCAAGCUAUUUUCCCUUCCUUAGAAGACCUUGGAACCGACUGAAACACUAUUCAUCUUCUUCUCCAUUCAGAUUCUUCCCCCCAUCUGCUACUACUUUUCACCCUCAGAGGAAUCAUGAAUUCUUCCAAUCCCCGGAAUGAUGUUCGACACCUUGAAGAACAACUAGCGCGUGACUGAGGAUCUCUGGGUGCCGUCUCAGUCUGGAUUGAGGUAUUGAUCUUCCAUGGUUCCCAUUUUGCCGUUGGCCCCUUACUCCCUUCACCUCCUUUUCCAAUCUCAAACUUUCCAAGCUAUAGGAAAAGAAAUCUUUCUCUUAGAUAGGCCGAACCUGUGAACGAAGAAGCAAAAAAAGCCUGGCGCCGCUUCUGGCCUCUUCACCUUGAUCACUAGAGUGAUUGGUUCGAACGAAUGACUGAGGCCAAAUCUGAUGAGUGGAACCAACUGGGAAUCUUCCAGCCCGUCCAACUAAUGAAGUUUCCAAUGACCCCUGACUGACCUCUUCUUCAAGCCGCCAUGUGUUUCUGGUCACAGUCGACCAACUCUUUUCAUUUCCCUUGUGGUAUGGUCGGUUCAACCCUCCCUGACAUGGGAGCCUUACUUGACCUCAAAUCCUAAGGUGAGGAACUUAAUGGAGCCUCUUUUGGCUCUUUUGAUGAGAACGACUUAGAGUUUGACAAAAGGUGCAUUUACCCCCAUUAUGUUGAGACCUACAGGCAUGACCAGGGUCCAGUAACAGAAACGAAUACAUUACCUUUCUGCUUACUUGGAUCUGUCGUUGCCUGAUUUGCACACCAGAAAAUAAAAUCACCAAGGCCUACCUCAAGUUAGCCAAUGCUUUGGCCGAUGGUCACCGAUAAAUCUUGCAGCAUUCGUUCUAUCAUCUUUGUAUCAUGGUUGCAACGAAGUACUCAAGGAUUACUUCACCAAUGGUGGAGGUCCAUUUUGGGUGUUGCAAAUUUGGUUGAGAGCUUACUUUCUUGAAAUCUACCUUGUCCAGGUCCGAAAUACUCUUCAGUCGUGGUUCUUCUUCUAUGACCAUGUCAGCCCCACCAAUAUCCCGUCAAGAGUAUUUCAACUUCUUCUUUGGUUUAUCCAUAGAACGCUCUCCUGAAUCCUUUAUCACUUUUCAUUCACCAAGAAAUAUUCUUGAGUGGUUAUCUUCAGCUCUUGAUGAUCCUAUGGCCAACUCCGAUCUGUGGGCAGAUUUUCUUACUUGUCGUGAUCUCCAUCUCGGGACCAGCCUUGGACAUUCGAAAAACAACUUGUGUGGAGGUGAGUGUUACAAGCCUCAAUUCCUCAGACAUCAAUUUGGCCUCAGCCAAGCUAAAAACAUUGGUGCUUUCCGAAUUCACUCCAUUCUAUUUUCAGUCUUGUGUCAUCGAAGAUUUCAGAACUUGGUGACCAUCUUACUUCUAUAGUGAACUCGAAGAGAGGUUGUCUGACCACAUGUCAACCACUUUUUCCCAUAGCGAAGACUCUAAUGUUGGCUCUAUUUCUAGUGUGCUAUUAAAAGGACGAAAAGAAGAAGAAUCUUAAAAUGGUCAAAGGUAAUCCCUUUUACGAAUCCAUACUUACAUAUGAAAAAGCAUUUCACAUCAAAUAUGAUCCAGACCAUCAAGCUAUGAAGGAGAAACACUGAAAGGCUGUAGAAAGACUAGAAACCAUCAGUCACCAUGAAUUCAUGGUUUAGUCAGUAAAUGCGAGUAAAGAACCCUGUGGUAUUCUCAUCAAAUUUGAUCGUUUUCAUUGAGAGUUUACUCGCCUAAUGGAGAAACAACCUCCUUUUCCAAAUGCCCCCUUUGCUAUGCUAAAGUAGCGAGCACCAAAGCUUUUGAGGCGACUGAGCAUGUAACCUUCACAGGCUUACUUGCCACUGAUUAUGAGUGGCUCAGUGUGAGGGACAAUGCGGCCAGGGUCAUAUACCAUCCUAGCCUUGGUAUUUUUCUUCUACCUUGAGCCUUCACAAUAUUUUCUUCCUUCUACUAAUUCUUAUUUUCAAAUGCCCUGCCAACUUCUGCUCCCCAAGAACAAUCUAAUGCUCCAGAAGAAACACAGCCUAUUGAAGAACAUUUUGGCUUCUCAAGGGAUGAGCAUCCUGAAGAUGACCCUCCUUUGAAGCGACUCAGAAUAGGAAAGCGAACAACUUCAACAACAACAAAGUUUCUGGAACUUUUGGUGAUCACUCAAAUCUAGCUAAGAAAAUUGAGAGCAAAGCUACAUCAAGCCGCCAUACAACCUUUCCUACUAUGUCAACUUUCUUAUCUCCUAAAGAUUUUGAAGAGACUUCUCCCCCUCUCACUGACUUUGAUAACAUGAUGGCUCAACUGAGAGCUUCUGAGACUUCUCCUAACCUUCCCCCAAGAGAUCAUCCUCAUUGAUUCUCCUUAGACCCCUUCUGGAAUUGAUCAACCACGAGCCCUCUAUAACUUAAUUGAAGGGUCUCUCGAAAAAAGAAGUUUCUGAGCGUAAGCAAACAACCAUCAUGGAGAGGGUUUUCAACGCACUGCUGGCUAAUCCUAGCUUGACAACUGCUCAACGUGACUGGGCGGCGUACGCUAGAGAGUUAAGUUUGAUCAUUGGUGGUUCUGUUCCUUAAGCACUUGAAGGAAUGAAAGAAAUCAAAGCUUCAGUUGACCAUCACAAGACUUCCUCCCUUUAGAUGCAAACCAGAAAAACUCGAUUAGGAGAACUCAAACAAGCUUCCAUUGCCUCAGAAUACAAAAUCAAAGAAUUGGAUGAAGAAAUCCAUCGUCUCCAAUCUGAAAAGGUUGCUGAAGAGAGGAAAAUGGUGGUGAACAAUCAUUAUAUUCAAGCCUUAUUUGCUGAACUAGCACCUUUGGGAUAAAGUCUGAGAAUAUAGCUAAAAAACAAAGUCUUAGGAGCAAGAGCUGCUUGAAGCUGAUCAAAACUUAGUGUAGGUAGAUAACAAACUAGAAAUUUGGUAGGCCACCUUCCUUGAACAUUUUAAAAUUUCAAGUCUGUGAACCUGUGAAAUCUAGGGGGAAUGCCCCUUAGUACUCCUUAACUUCUGAGAUUUCAUUUCUUUUGGAACAAGCUUACUUUUCAAACGGUCAAUAUAAAUAUAUAUAUAUAUAUAUAUAUAUGGUCCGUCUUUUCUUAGGCCAAUUUA